AAUUGUAGUCAUAGCAUACCAUGCCACCCUGAAUGCACCCUGAAUGAAGGUUAGCAGGCUUGAUUAGUACUUGGAUGGGAGAUCACCUGGGAAUACCAGGUGCUGUAGGUU
ensembl:rRNA 5S_rRNA 5S ribosomal RNA